rnacentral:lncRNA from 1 species
AUUAUCCUUUAAGUGGACAAACUCCUUUGCGCCCUUGCGGGUGUAGGGAAAAAGGAGGUAUGACAGCCCUGGGGACUCCGCUGGGGACAAGAACCCAGAAUGUUUUGUUCAGGAUUUAGAAUUCGAGCUUAGAAUAAUUUUUGUAUUUGUUAUAUCUGAUUUUCCUACAUGUUUCAUGCUUAAUGUGUUAAAUGUUUACCGCUUUGAUAUUAUCUGAACUGUAUAUAAACUGUGUCAAAACCCUUCUCCUCUCACCUCCGGGGAUGUGCUUAAUAGUUUAGGCUCCUUAUUUUGUUAGUGUCAUACCCCGAAAUAAGAAAAAGGCUCGGACAAGUUGCAAAGCCAGACGAUCUCGCGGGUCCCCAGUAUGCUGCCCCCUCCUCGACUCGAGUUGUCCGCUCGGGUGCACUGUUUAGAACACAUACCCAGGCUUUGAACCUAGAAUAACGUGAAAUCAUACCGAAUCCGUAGUAUGAGCACUUAUUUGCAUCAUUAUACAUUUGACUUAGGGGAAUUAACACAGAGGUUGGGUCCGUCUAGAACUAGCAACCCAAAAUGAAAAGACAAUCC